rnacentral:sRNA from 1 species
UGGAGGUGUGCCCCACGUGGCGUCCAUCUG